rnacentral:lncRNA from 1 species
CUAGUAGAAAAUUUAUAUUAUCCUGUUAAAUAUAAAAUAUUUAAAUAUUGUUCUCAAGCUCCUAUUAAAUAUAAAAUAUUAAACACCGGUUUCUACUAGUUUGAGCUGGGGUUUGGUUGGAGGAUGGGGGGAUAAGGGGUUACCCCCCCUCUUAUCCCCAAACACAAAAGAAAAAAGGGUGGGAUAGCUAUCCCACCCUUUGUGUGGGAAUAGGGUGGGACAGCUGUUCCCACUCCUAUUUAAUUUUUAUAAAAGGGGCAAUUGCUUAUAUAUCCCUAAAAAGUUCUCGACAAUCUGAUUUACUCCUUAGAAGGUUAAUAUUGAAAAUACCAUUUUUAUGUUCCAACCUAUUUCCAAUAUACUUCUAGAAUUAAAUUCUAUUAAUGAACUGUUCGCAAUAGCUGUUAUCUGUAUGAAAUUACUAUUUUGCCCUUUCAAAUACCCUUCCACCAUCACCGAUGUUUUCUAUUUGCCAUUAAAUUAGGAGUAUAAAAAGUAUUUUGAUUUUUAGUCUUUUCAAAUAUACCCUUCUGCUAUCACCAUUAUUUUUUAUUUACCCGUAAAUUAAGGACAAAAGAGAAAUUUU